rnacentral:rRNA from 1 species
GAUGAACGCUGGCGGCGUGCCUAAUACAUGCAAGUCGAGCGAACAGACGAGGAGCUUGCUCCUUUGACGUUAGCGGCGGACGGGUGAGAAACACGUAGGUAACCUACCUAUAAGACUGGGAUAACUUCGGGACACCGGCGCUAAUACCGGAUAAUAUUUCGAACCGCAUGGUUCGAUAGUGAAAGAUGGCUUUGCUAUCACUUAUAGAUGGUCCUGCGCCGUAUUAGCUAGUUGGUAAGGUAAAGGCUUAUCAAGGCAACGCUACGUAGCCGACCUGAGAGGGUGAUCGGCCACACUGGAACGUAGACACGGUCCAGGCUCCUACGGGAGGCAGCAGUAGGCAAUCUUACGCAAUGGGCGAAAGCCUGACGGAGCAACGCCGCGUGAGUGAUGAAGGUCUUCGGAUCGUAAAACUCUGUUAUUAGGGAAGAACAAACGUGUAAGUAACUGUGCACGUCUUGACGGUACCUAAUCAGAAAGCCACGGCUAACUACGUG